rnacentral:tRNA from 1 species
GGGGCCUUAGUAAAGCGGGAUUACGCAGCGUUCGCAACGCUGAGUCACGGGUUCGACUCCCGAAGGCUCCACCA